GUCAACAGCCAUAAUAGCUGCAGUUCAGACCAGGUACUCCACCUGAAGCUAAGCAGGUUUGGGCCUGGCCAGCACUUCGUUGGGAGUCCAACUAGGAAAGCUGGGUUACUGCUGGAC
rnacentral:rRNA from 1 species